rnacentral:rRNA from 1 species
GACGUAGGGCGCGAGCGUUGUCCGGAUUUACUGGGCGUAAAGGAUGCGUAGGCGGAUAUUUAAGUGAGAUGUGAAAUACCCGAGCUUAACUUGGGUGCUGCAUUUCAAACUGGAUAUCUAGAGUGUGGGAGAGGAGAAUGGAAUUCCUAGUGUAGCGGUGAAAUGCGUAGAGAUUAGGAAGAACACCAGUGGCGAAGGCGAUUCUCUGGACCAUAACUGACGCUGAGGCAUGAAAGCGUGGGUAGCAAACAGG